rnacentral:tRNA from 1 species
AGCCUGUUAGCUCAAUUGGUAGAGUAUUGUGUAUGUAAAUACACAAAAAAAAAAUGUGGGUUCGAAUCCCGCACGGGCUC